rnacentral:rRNA from 1 species
UACGUAGGGUCCGAGCGUUGUCCGGAAUUAUUGGGCGUAAAGAGCUCGUAGGCGGUUUGUCGCGUCUGCUGUGAAAUCCCGAGGCUCAACCUCGGGGCUGCAGUGGGUACGGGCAGACUGGAGUGCGGUAGGGGAGAAUGGAAUUCCUGGUGUAGCGGUGGAAUGCGCAGAUAUCAGGAGGAACACCGAUGGCGAAGGCAGUUCUCUGGGCCGUAACUGACGCUGAGGAGCGAAAGCGUGGGGAGCGAACAGG